rnacentral:misc_RNA from 1 species
UCUCCGUUGGUGAACCAGCGGAGGGAUCAUUACCGAGUUUUUCUACUCCCAAACCCCUGUGAACUUAUACCUUUACUGUUGCUUCAGCGGGUUAACGCCCCGGAAGGCCCAAAAAGCCGCCGGAACCAGGCGCCCGUCGGGGGACCCAAACUCUUGUAUUUCUUACUUUGCAUGUCUGAGUGGAAUCAUAAACAAAUGAAUCAAACCUUUCAACAACGGAUCUCUUGGUUCUG